rnacentral:lncRNA from 1 species
CAUAUGAUACCUCCUAUUUCACAGAUCUAUGUACCAGAUAUUGACGAUGAAAUUGAAAUACCAAUUAAAAAGGAAAGACGGAGAACGAGCACUUCUGUUCAUUUCGAUCACCUUUGAAGUGACGACACAAGUGACGUAUUUGUAAAUAGAGCGAUUCAAGUCCACGACAGAAUGACACAAUGGACGCAGAGAGUGAAGCUAAGGGGAAGCCGACUGUUGAAGAAUCGUUACCAACCUGUAAUACAUUGUGAAAAUGCAUAUUACUUUUUUUAACGUCCCCAUUGACACAAUUUAGAUAAUUUAAGAGGCGUGCUCCUUACCCUACAUGUCAUGGCCAACCUGGAUUGAGAAAGAUACACCAUUGUAGCUGAAAGACUCGAGUACUUGAUAAAAUUUUUUGGCCACACUAGAAUCGAAUUCUGGUCUCCUGCGUGCGACAGCGAAGCGCCUAACCGCUACACCACAUAGACGCUGUGGUCCACAUCGUGUAAGAAAUACACAUUAAGUUUAUUAUGUUAUCAAAUUAUUUACUAUACACGUUCUCUGCCACAUAAGGUCGUUGGUAUAGUGGAUUUCAUGCAUGAAAAGAAUAAAUGGGUCAUACAGCGUUUCUAUAGCUGCUCACAACCUCUGGUAAUUCAAGUCACACCACUGACAGCUCAGCUUGAAGUAGCAUAACGAAUGGCGGGUGACGACAAGCCAAAUGUUAUGAAGUUAGAUGUAAAUGAGGAUUCCUACGAAGUACGGACAUUAUCCCAUUUUGAAACGUUUUGAAUUGUCUGUUUUGUUUUAUUUCUUCGUCUCUAUCCUCAUUGAAUCUCAGUAGAUAGAACGGUCACCGUCACAAACGAGUAAACGGAAAGGUUUUACCGGGCAUGCUUGAAAAGUGGCCGUGUGGUCUACAGUAUGGAAAAACGGAAUUCCCUCUUCGAGAAUUCUCGUAGUUUUUGUCAAAGUGUGACUAUGCUUGUGCUGCCAUUCGAGUCACCAAAUACAUGUACAUAAUGUUGUACAAUUUUCUAGAGAUAUGUGUAACUUAGUAAAUAGCUGGAAUUAUUGUGUCAGUCCCUUUUCUGAACAGAAGAUUGAUUAUAGAGUGCGCAUAGGAGAAACAGUCUGGCUUUUGUUAUUUCACGUGUCUGUUAAUGUGGCUGAUUCCUUAAAAAACCCAUCUGAAACUGGUUUAUUGAUAUUUGGAGAAUGAGCAAGUCCCUUGUCCAUAUCUGACGGACCGAUCUCAAAUCUUUACUAUAAUAUAGACGUUGACGAGCAGAGCAAGUAACUGACUUAGGAUUCUUUUCUAUUCUGCAGUACAAAUAUUUUCUGGUCGGUUUGAAGCAUGAUUUUGUAAUAUUUGAUGUAUUAUCCUGAAAUGUGCGCCUUUUCCAAGACUCAUUAAAUCUGAAUUUUUCAAAUCCGACUAGCACUUCAUUGGCAUAGUAGGCCCCACGCUGACGUUUUCUAAAAUACUUUCAAAAAGAUCUCCAAAGACUUGUAAAAUUAUGAAUAUUAUGCGAUUCCCAAAGGUCUGAACGUUAUCGAGUAUUAUUUUCUUACCUGAAACUGAAUGUUCUUUAGCCGGACUAGUUGAAGAGAAACUUGGGAAAAGCAUAAUGAAGAGAAAUGCGAUUUUUUUCUUCACAGAGUUAUGACGAAAAGAAAUGUAAUUUCCCGACGUUUUAGACCGGUCCGAGAUAUGGCUUUGGGAGCAUAUUAUUACAUUAAAUCACGCAUGGUUUCUUAGAUGAUUAUAUUUGCAUGCCGCGUUACUUUCUUGAAAAAA